rnacentral:rRNA from 1 species
CAGCCGCCGCGGGAAUACGGAGGGAGCUAGCGUUGUUCGGAAUUACUGGGCGUAAAGCGCGCGUAGGCGGUUACUCAAGUCAGAGGUGAAAGCCCGGGGCUCAACCCCGGAACUGCCUUUGAAACUAGGUGACUAGAAUCUUGGAGAGGUCAGUGGAAUUCCGAGUGUAGAGGUGAAAUUCGUAGAUAUUCGGAAGAACACCAGUGGCGAAGGCGACUGACCGGACAAGUAUUGACGCUGAGGUGCGAAAGCGUGGGGAGCAAACAGGAUUAGAUACCCCCGUAGUCCCUGUCUCUUAUAC